UUCACAGUGAUCGAUCGAAGUAGCCGUGGCUUGUCGACCAGUCUGCUCGUCUGUGCUCCAAUCUUUCACAUAUUUAUUUCUCGAAUAAGGUCGAUCAAUUGCAUUUAUUCUGUUCAUCGUGCCCAGAUGAACUUCUGGGGAGGGAUUCGUACCAUUCCGAGCAGUAUAGUUAUUUUGUCGGGGGGUUCACCGUAUUUAUGUGUGGUAUUUAUCUUAUGUUCUUUGCACCUACAAGUCAUGCGUGUGGGUGUCCUUUCAUGGCAUCCCAUAGCGUAAACACAACUAUCAUCUGCAUAGUUUCAGGAACACUCCCUGCUUUUUAGCCUGUGCGCAUGUUCCAUUCUUUGGCCGACUUAAACUUUUACUCUGAAUAAAAGCAAUUAUAAGAACAUGUACUUCUUUUACAACAACCCCGAAACAAAGCUGCUAUAUUUAAAAAGCGAUUUAUUUGGGAUCGCUCAUUGCUUGUAUUCUAAACAUAUGCAUGACACACCUUACAUUUAUACUAAAUGCAUAUUUAUUUCUCGAAUAAGGUUGAUUAAUUGCAUUUAUUCUGUUCAUCGGGCCCAGAUGAACAUCUGGGGAGAAACUCGAACCAUUCCGAGCACUACUUACUUCGUCGGGGGCUCACACUAUAUAUUUAUGUUAGGUAUUUAUCUUAUGUUCUUUUGCGGGACUUACAACAGACCUUUCAUGGCAUCCCAUAUUGUAAACACAACUGUCAUCUGGAUGGAGUCAGGAACCCUCAUUGAGCUUUUUAACAGUGGCUCCCUGCCUGUGUUCCAAGCAUACUCAAGACACAUCUUACAUUCAGACGAAAUGCUUUCUUCACUCAAUGUCUUCUCUGAAAAGCAGUCCUUCCGAUGCUCGAAACCGUAUUUCUUUGUUACUGCAAGCCUUCACUGUCCUCGUGGUUGGUCUCUAUGAUGGGGACCAAGUGUGCUGAUCUUUGAUUUAAUGAAGUCUUCACCUCUGCAGAAGCAAUCUGCUGCCAAAGUCUUUCUCUCACUUAACAGGUAAAAGUUCAUACACUGAUCGUGCACACAACGAAUGAAAAUUUCUUAGGCUCAGAAAUUCCUUCUAACAUUCAUUGUAUAGAUGUAUAUGAUGAAGGUUUUUGCAUAUUUGGCCUCCUUGAAUACUGAAUGUGAGUAGCGCACCACCAACAUUUUCAUGAAGCCCUACGCAGUCUUUGAAAUUACAGUUACGGUUUUCCGUGGAGGACAACCGCAGGCAGGGUCCUCGAUCAUAGUAACGCAUUUUCUAUGCCAUAGCUGCUGACACUGUCACACACAGUAUACUUUUCUCCAUCUACUGUGCUUGUCUGUGAUUUGCAUGCCAGGCAAGGAGUGCAUGAGAGUCUAAUGUGAAUUAUUCAUACUGUGUCGCACAAAAAACUACAGACUUAUUUUUUAGCAGGCUGGCAUAUGUCACCCAUUUAGGUGUGUCAUCAUAUCCUCUCUGUGACACAGUAGGACACGUGUAGCUCAUUGCUCCGUGGUCAUAUAUUUCACUGAGCGUAAGCUGAAAACAUUCAAUCACAGUAUCAUACAACCAGACCUUACAAAACAGUUCAAAAAUUCGUUUCGGGACUCUCCCUUUUUAUUUUUCAGAAAUUUCUGUAUUUAGGGACUUCGACUCAAAUGUUAGUGUCAUUUUUGGAAAAUGUAGAAUAGCAUAUCCUUUGGAUUCGUUGUGUAGUCCACAUGUUGAUACUAAAGGAUAUGUUGAUAUGUGUCUUGCCUUCUUUCUCCCAUUGCCAAUCCUGUAUCAGUUAAGUUCCAGCUUUCUUUUGUUUGUUCUUCGGGACCACUGCUAUACUCAGGACACUCAGCAGGAUUAUCGCUGUGUUUCACAUUCAUGGUAACAUGCUUGCUUUUCCUAAUGUUAGCAGUUAGGAGACCACCUACCGGAUGUAUCUGCACCAGUAUAUCAAGUGUGCCUGAUCAUCGUCACUGAGGAGUCAUGCCAAGUAGGCAUAAUGCUUUUGCCUUGACCCUUUUGCAAGAGCCUGUCAUCAAUCUGCUGCAUAGCUUCCUCAGACGGUCAAUAUGAGUAUCCAGAAAUAAUUAAUUCCAAAAGCCUGAUAUGUAAAUGUGUUUCCAGGCGAUCUGAACACAAGCACCACUUCACUAGAGGGAACUGCUGUUCUGAAGCUGGAACAACAUAGAAGGGACAAUCACAGACUAUUCUCUAGAGAGCUGGCCUAGGAUUUUCCCUCUCCCUCGCGCGCCCCGCCCACCCGGAGCGCGCCAAUGGGAGGACGCGUGGGCGGAGUCGACUUUCAUUGCCAUCUGGGAGCAGAGGUUCGAACGUAGACGGAGACGUGCUUUUCUCGAUGCUACGUCCACUGGGUCGUUCCAUUCACUAUAGCCCUGAGUUGGCCCGUGUUCCAGAAAUGGCGCUGCUCGAUCUGUGAACCGGGACGCGCGUUCCUUGGGACAACGAAAAUG